rnacentral:lncRNA from 1 species
UGUUAAAUUAUGGUGAGAUGAAAAAUAGGGGAAAGCCCGUGUUAGGACAUUAAAGUACGUGAUCACCUUUUAGGGUGAGAGAGAUUUGUAUUGAUCCCUUAUUUUAAAAUUUGAUUGUCUUGUGGAAAAGGAUAUUAUUAUUGUAAGGGCAUACGAUUACAUUAAUUAGACAUAUUGGUUGGCCUUAGUUGAUAUCUAUAAUUAGGUGCUU